AAAUCCUUCACAUUUAGUACACAGCACAGCAGUAAUGUUGAAACACACUAGCUGUAGAUGUCAGAUAAUUGAAAAUAUUGAUCUGAAAUCAAAAUGGGCAGAAGAAGGAUAGAAGAAAAACUGAAUGCUGUCAGUAUUUCAUUGUAGACAGCUCACAUCCGGAGAAGGCAGUAAAGAAUAAGAGCAGAAAAAACCCAACCAGUACAAGUCUCCGGGGAUGGGGGAAAUCCCAGGAAACAAUAGUUACAAAACUGAAGCAGAUGAACAGCUCCAAUACUUCAAACUCACAAUAUUCUGCCAGACCUUAUUUGAGCUCCACAUUGAAAGUGUACAGCCAAGAAAGUCAAACAAAAGCGGGGCUUGCUGCAACACACUGACUGACAAUUAGAGUUUGAAAACCUAGGAAAUAGGAUCCCAUAAUGGCACCUAAUGGGAUUCUGAAGCAAAGCCUCCUGCUCUCAGGUAUCAUCAGGUAGUGAAAUUAAAAGAAAAGCAUAGCAACUCAAUUAUGGCCGAAAUAGGCUCUUAACGGCUGCUGUCACAAAUAGAAGUUUCUUUGGCUCCAUGACAACACUGCAAAUUUUGGGUUUCCUGAACUAUUAGAGAUUAUUAUGCCUUGUAAAAUUAAUAAACGUGUAUCAUAUUGUUGGCAUGCUUCACACUCAAAAACCUCCAGGGAUUCCUUUUUUGUGCUUCAACACAUACCCUAGCCACCCCCUUGAAUCAGGAUAAUAAAAGUAAGGAAUCCUAAGAGAAAAUUGUAGCAUACAGUAACUUGAAACAGCAUCACAUUAUAUGAUUUGGAAAUGUAAAUGAUUUAGUAAAUGAAACUAUUAUUGAAACAUUAGUUCCUCUACACUCUGUAAUUUUAACUUGGUGCCAUUAUGAUUAAUAAAAAUUCUAUUUAUAAAAACUAAUAUUAACAAAAAUCUUCAAGAAAUAUGAUCCUUCAGAACUCCCAUUCAUUUCAGCUGGAUUUGUUCUGGAAAACAUCUUUGUUGACUGUGCUGUAGAUUAGGAUUCCUAAGUGACCUCUACUACAAACAUAUUUGCCACAUGACUAAAUGAACAAAGAAUAGCACAGAAAUGAAAAUUAGUAGGAUAUACAACCAUACAUUUCAAUUAAAGUAAACAUUUAGACGAUGAACUACAUUUGCAUUGAAAUAUGUCAUAUUCUGUUGAUUUGUCAAAUCAUGGGAAGAAUUGCACGGGCUAUCUAGCCCAACCCCCUGCCAUGCAAGAAUACACAGCUAAAGCACUCCAGGGAGGUGGUCAUCCAAUCUCUGAUUAAAGACCUCCAGUGAAGGAGAUUGCAAGGCCAUGUAUUCUGCUGUCCUUUACUAUCAGAAAAUUCUUUUUCAUGUAAAAUCACAUUUCUUUUGAUUAGAACCCACUGGAUUAUGUUUUAGACACACUUAUUCCAUCUUCCACAUUAUAUUAGAUAUUUAAAGUUGACUAUUGUGUCACCUCUCAGUCUUCAAUUCUCCAAGUCAAACAUACUCAGCUUGG